GAUCCCUUUUUGCACUAUAGCUUUCAUUCCUGAUAGCAGGGCAGACCACGCCAGAAGAAAAGCCAAGGUGGUCUGAUUUCCUGCUCAUUCGGUCAGAGGCCCUAUGAUAAGAAUAAUGGUGUAAACAGUCUGUGCAAUAUGUUUAGAUAAAUAGUACCUUGCACAAUGACUGAUGGAGCAAACAAGGGUUUGAUGAGUGAGAAAGAAGUGUGGCCAGUGUAUGUAUGGCCUACAUGCCUUCUAUGGUGCUCAUAAUAACUUUUGCCUUUGCAAAGGAAGGAGAUGUCAAUAGAGGCGGAUUCUGGAGGGUGGAGAAGGCACAGUGACUGGCCUAGGAGUGAACCGACUCAUAGGAAUGAGGCACGGAGGCACAGUAGAGAAGCCUGGUCCUGAGGCUCCUCACUCCCAUGGAGUUGCAGAACCUCCACUUAAUGGUUAUGCUGGGAACUGAAGGAUUAGAGGGACCUGUGGGGAGGAGAAUGGUUCAGCAAGAUGCAACCUACACCUGCAGUGGAGUGCUGCACAGCCUUCAAAAGAAAGGGCAUUCUGGCAAACACAACGUGGACAGACUCUGAGGACAUUACAUUGGGUGAAACAAACCAGUCAAAAGGACAUCAAAAGAACUCAUAAACCCUGAAAACUUCAUGGUAUCUAGGAAUAAUGGCUGACAUACUCUGGGUUGGAGAGUCCCCCGGCAAGCUCUGGUGAGCUACACUGUGGCCCUCUGCAGGUUCCUUGGCAAAAGUUCCUUGGCUGCCUGGAACUAAAUGUGUUCUCUACAGUUACCACUGGACGGACUUCUUUCCUGGGCCUCGAGCCUACCUCAUGUAACAGUGGGAGAGAUACACACUGAUUUCCUGUGGAGGCCAGAACUCUCUGGGGUCAGGAAAGAGCAAUCAAUAGUGGGGGAGGAACCUACUUGGCCAGGUGGUUCAUGAGCAGCUGCAACAUCUGCCGAUUCUUCUCCGGGAGCCGAUGAACAAGGCUAUGGAUCUCAGAGACUCGAGUCUCUUGGUUUUCCAGCUCUGUGAAGAAAAGGGGUAAGGUUGUAUUGGAGUCACAGCUAAGUUAUUGGGCAAGACCAAGGGGGAACUAAAGCCUUGGCAGUAACCCAUGGAAGAGGUUCUUAAGGAUUUACCACCCUGUCUUUCGUGUGUGCUUAGGACCAGUGUGACAGGCUCUAGAAGGCCUUUCAGUGUGCUUUCUGUAUCAGAGUUCAACCAACUAAUGGCUGUGAUGAAAUGGAGCUGGUCAACCCCACACCCAGGGAAUGAACAAACACGGGAGCAGCUGGCUCCCUCGAGGGCCAACUUCAUUUCAAGGAAAGAAGGAACUUUAUGCACUUGUGAAGUGGUAAACAGAUCUUAUGUGAACAUCACCAAGGUCUCAAGUUUCAAAAUGAUAUAUCCAGAUCACACACACACACACACACCACCGCUAUGCUUAAGUUAUGUGUAGCAUACCAAUGGAGUAUGAAAAAUGCAGUGGCAGAUAAAACAUUUAAAUCUUUCUGUCACUCUAUAGCUUGCUACCUUUUGAUUCAAAUUGGGGAAGUGGCUCUGUUUCUCUUGGAAAUAAUUUGCUAAUAUUCACC